rnacentral:sRNA from 1 species
AUAAAACUAAACCACUUAUAAUUUAAACGACAUGUGAACCCAUAAAUUCAAUUUAUUUGGCUUUAAAAAUACGACAUGCAUAUAAACGGAUGGGUUGGGUAAAUAUUCGUCAUAUGGUGUUUCACAAGACAAUUUUAGCCAGCGUCGUUUUCAUUCAUUCAAUCUUUAUUUCCCCCUUGCGGAGAUUUCAUGUUGUAAAUUACAAUAUAUAAAGAAAAUCAGUCAAUCAGUCAAAUCAGUGAACAGUUCUUACAAUUUAAGUCCAAAGUUGGACAAAUUCUAGGUAAUGAAAAUCGCUCAGGACUAAAUCUAAUAAUAAUUAUUCAAAUGAUUUUUUUUUUCAUUCAAAGAAUCCGCGUAAAUGUUUACCUGCGGAUUAAAUUGAUAUUGUGAUUCCGCGGAAUUAUGACCCCGUGGAAAAAAAUACGUCUACAGCAAGUUCAAGUUAAAAAAAAAAGAAUACAAAAUCAAGCAUGGUUGAUUCAAAAAUAGCUGUAACCAUAUGAUAACAUUAAAUCUAAUAUGUAGAAAAUAGGCGAGACAUUCAUCAAUAUUUAUUGCUAUAAAGAAAAUGAGGGAAACAUAUACACUUGUACAUCUUAAAAUGGAUUAUCUAAAUCUGCCAAACAAUACCUUAAAGUAAACUAAUGAAGUGUUUUUGAUUCAUUUCGUACAAUUAACACGGAAUUUACGAAAGCUGACUCACUUGAACUAAAGUUUUGUAUUUUAAAUAUAUUUAUUAAUAGUAACGCAAUAUAUUAUUGAAGAUUUCAAUAUUAAAUACACCUGAGACGUUUGUAUAAGAUAUCAAAUAUAAAAUGCAACAAACCUCUUAUGCAAACAUUACAUUUCCAAAACAAAAAUCCCGAUACUCAAUCCCUACAGACAUGAAUUUUAAUAACAAAAGCAUUUCCUUAAUAUUUCAAAUAUUUUAGCGUAUGAGGUAAGUGAAUGGUUCAAAAUCAUAUCAAACCAGAGAAAUUGUGGCCAUAAAAUGCCAUUUAUUAUCUGGGAAUGCAUAAAGUACGAUUUGUUUUUCGUCAGGAGGGAAAAAGGGGGGUGGACUUGAUGAAAGUUAACUUUGAAAUCGGGGAACCUCCGCGUCAUAUGUAUUAUUUAUUCUUACUUGACUAUAGUACUAUUGGAAAAGAACGAACAUUUAAAGACAGCGUGGGAUUUAAAAGACAUUUUGCAUGGUUUUUCCUUGCACAUGAUCAACUUGGAUUACAGCACGUAUCAUAUUCCCCAAUUUUUUCUCGCAGCAAACAUUAUCUUGAAUUUACAUAUAAAAAAAAUGAAUAAAGAUGCGUUUUGCCGACCCAUUCCCCAACUUUUUGGGGAGCAUGUAUAUAAUUGAAGGGAAAGGAAAAAAAUUAACAUUGAAAACUGAAUUUUAAGACAAUUCUCUCUAUAAACAAAACUUAUUUAGAUUUCAGGUCAAGAGACAUACACUAUUUAACUAAAGCUAUUUUAUUCGAAAUAUUUCACUACACAUACUUUUUGUUUUGUUUUGUUUUUUUUAAAUAUUCUAUAAUAGCCUCUUUUUUAUCAGUACACUAGAAAAUAAAUUAUUUUACCUUAUAGAAAAAUCAAUGAAUAAUGUUGGGCGGGUUAUAUUUUUAUAUCAUAUACCUAGUAGUGUACAGCCCUGAUACGCGUGUUUUGGACUAGGUGAGACAGCAACUGGAAGCUAGGGCUGUAUCGCCCUCGGGGCUGAUAUUUCUCUGUCUCAGCCCGUCGUCAAGGGGGUGUAUUGCCCUCAAAUUUCCAAAUAACUUUGCUUUAAAUUAAGACUAGUUUGUAAAAUGACGAUAUAAUAACAAAUAAAUAAUACAAAGCAUCACCUUACACGUCUGAAUAUUAUUAUUUAUUGCUGAAAAUUGAUAUAUCGCCUCGAUUAUGUGUAUUCAUGCAGAAAUUGCAACGGGAAGUUAAAUGAAGUAAAC